rnacentral:rRNA from 1 species
GAUGAACGCUGGCGGCGUGCCUAACACAUGCAAGUCGAGCGAACAGACGAGGAGCUUGCUCCUUUGACGUUAGCGGCGGACGGGUGAGUAACACGUGGAUCACCUACCUAUAAUUCUGGGAUAACUACGUGAAACCGGAGCUACUACCGGCUAAUAUAUUGAACCGCAUGGAUCAAUAGUGAACGACGCUUUUGCUGUAACUAAUAGCUGGAUCCGGGCCGCAUUAGCUAGUUGGUAGGGUAACGGCUUACCAAGGCUACGCUGCUUAGCCGACCUGUGAGGGGAAUCGGCCACACGGAAAUUGAGGAGCGGUCAGAGUUCUUAGGGAGGGAAGCGGUAGGGAUUCUGCCGGAAGGGGCGAAAGCCUGACGGAGCAACGCGGCGGGAGUGAGGAGGGUCUUCGGAUCGUAAAACGCUGUUAUGAGGAAAGAACAAAUGUGUAAGUAACUAUGCUCGUCUGGACGGUACCAAAGCAGAAAGCCACGGCUAACUACGG